rnacentral:rRNA from 1 species
GAUGAACGCUGGCGGCGUGCCUAAUACAUGCAAGUCGAGCGGACGGACGAGAAGCUUGCUUCUCUGAUGUUAGCGGCGGACGGGUGAGUAACACGUGGAUAACCUACCUAUAAGACUGGGAUAACUUCGGGAAACCGGAGCUAAUACCGGAUAAUAUUUUGAACCGCAUGGUUCAAAAGUAAAAGACGGUCUUGCUGUCACUUAUAGAUGGAUCCGCGCUGCAUUAGCUAGUUGGUAAGGUAACGGCUUACCAAGGCAACGAUGCAUAGCCGACCUGAGAGGGUGAUCGGCCACACUGGAACUGAGACACGGUCCAGACUCCUACGGGAGGCAGCAGUAGGGAAUCUUCCGCAAUGGGCGAAAGCCUGACGGAGCAACGCCGCGUGAGUGAUGAAGGUCUUCGGAUCGUAAAACUCUGUUAUUAGGGAAGAACAUAUGUGUAAGUAACUGUGCACAUCUUGACGGUACCUAAUCAGAAAGCCACGGCUAACUACGUG